rnacentral:lncRNA from 1 species
AUUGAUUUGUCAGAGGACAAUCCAUCCACAGAGGUCAACUGAUAACUUUCAGACAGAUAAGAUCUAAACCAGGCAAGAACUUGUCUGCAUAGACCAAUUAGGGUUUCCAAUUUCUCCAAAAGAAUGUGGUGUUGAAAGCGACACUAAGGUCUGGGAGGACCAGGACAGGUGCCCUUCUUUGCGAGACAUUGGAAAACCUCCCUGGUCUUUGUGGUUGAAUCUGUGUUUGAAAUUCACUGCUCGACUGAUAUACCUUACAGAUAAUGUCUGCUGUCCCCACAUGCUUCAAGAUGUCCACCAUUGUUCCUGUACCCAAGACAGC